AACGCACAUUGCGCCCGCUGGUACUCCGGCGGGCAUGCCUGUCCGAGCGUCAUUUCAACCCUCAAGCCCUCCUUCGGGACCGGGCCUGGUGUUGGGGCUCGGCCGCCAUCUCCGGCGGCCGUCCCCUAAAUACAGUGGCGGUCACGCCGCGACUCCCUUGCGUAGUAGAAACACCUCGCACCGGAUAGCGACGCGGUCCACGCCGUAAAACCCCCAAUUUUUAAUGGUUGACCUCGGAUCAGGUAGGAAUACCCGCUGAACUUAA
rnacentral:misc_RNA from 1 species